UGCAUAGUGAUUAGUAAUCCUUAAGGAAGGGACUUCUAUAUUACAGGAGAGAGCUAUGCAGGACAUUAUGUUCCUCAGCUGAGCCAGGCAAUUGUAAAACACAACUCUGCAACAAAGGAAAAAGCCAUUAAUCUGAAGGGUUAUAUGGUGGGAAAUGCUUUAACUGACGAUCACCAUGAUCACUUGGGGCUUUUCCAAUUCAUGUGGUCAGCUGGCU